rnacentral:rRNA from 1 species
UAUUGGGGAUGCAAGCGUUAUCCGGAAUCAUUGGGCGUAAAGCGCCUGUAGGUUGUUUAGUAAGUCUGUUGUUAAAGACUAGGGCUUAACCCUAGAGAAGCAAUGGAAACUAUUAGACUAGAGUAUGGCAGGGGUAGAGGGAAUUUCUAGUGUAGCGGUGAAAUGCGUAGAUAUUAGAAAGAACGCCAAUGGCGAAAGCACUCUACUGGACCAUUACUGACACUCAGAGGCGAAAGCUAGGGUAGCAAAAGGGAUUAGAUACCCCUGUAGUCCUAGCUGUAAAUGAUGGAUACUAGAUGUUGUGUAUAAUACACAGUAUCGUAGCUAACGCCUUAAGUAUCCCGCCCGGGGAGUACGUUCGCAAGGGUG